UACGUAGGGGGCAAGCGUUGUCCGGAGUUACUGGGCGUAAAGCGCACGCAGGCGGUCGAUUAAGUUUGGAGUGACAGUUGGUGGCUUAACUGCCAAAGUGCUUUGAAAACUGAUCGACUUGAGGGCUUCAGAGUGACACGGAAUUCCGGGUGGAGUGGUGAAAUGCGUAGAGAUCCGGAGGAACACCGAAGGCGAAGGCAGUGUCCUGGGGAGUACCUGACGCUCAGGUGCGAAAGCCAGGGGAGCGAACGGG
rnacentral:rRNA from 1 species